rnacentral:lncRNA from 1 species
CUGGGUUCAGGUGGCAUGUCUAUAACCAGCUGGCACCCAGAGCCCAGACUGAGUGGGGCUGCUGGUCAGGGAUGGGCGUGAAGGGCAGAAGUCUGGGCCAGGGGAGAUGGGGAUAGCAGGGACAGAGGGGCUCUCCAGGGCAAGGCUCAGUGGCCUCAUCAGCCAUUCUCUGCUCAGACAGAGGCACAAACAAAAUCCCAACCCCUUUCUCCUGUGAUUGGCAGCCAGGCUAGGAGGGGGCCCUCAGCAGGCAGAGGAGGAGAGCCAGAGGAGCUGGUGCAGACCACAGCUUUGCGGAGAGGAGUCUGGCCUUGUGGAAGUGGGAAUCACUGGAGACUUUGAAGCAUGGUCAUAUUUUCAAGUCACUUGCAGCUGUGUAGGAGUGGAAGUAGAAGAUGCAGGAGCAGCUGUCAGUAGACAGAUAAGAAAAGGAGAUCAGAUUCAAAGUUCCGCAGAGAAGUGGUGAGGUAACCAGUAUUGCCUAGCCUGGACACACAGGCAGCUUGAAACCUCAAGUGCACCAACAGAAAGAGCUCCAGGAAGAAUCAGAGGAGUGGGAUGUGAAGCCCCUCGAGGUCAGUGAGUUGGGGGAAUCCCUCCAAUUUUUCCUUUCUUCUCUACCCCAGCUCCUGGGCAGUAACAUGGAGGUGGCAGUGGUGGCACAGUGACGGUAGUGUGAGCUGGGUACGCACCUGAAACCUGAGAGGGUAACGCUACCCUCUGUCUAGAGGAGCCAUGGCCCCAAGAGCAUGGGGCAACCGCCUUCUGCAGCUCCUUUCUGCCCCCCUGCGCUGGGCCCUGGAUGCAGUUUCAGGGAGUAUGCAGCAGGGUAGGGAAAGAGCCCCAGAUUUGUGGCUGGAGGUCUUGGUAGGGAUGUUGCAGGGAGCUGUUGUGUUUCAGGAAGAGUACAGAGAAGGGAGAGAUGAAGUGAGUGAUCCGAUAAAGUGAUAUGUGAAGUCAUCGGCUUGCUGCCAAGCUGCGCACAGGGCUGACCCUAGAUGCACAUCGCAGGUCCCAGAUUGACCGGUGUAGACACAGGACUAAUAUGACUAGUAG